rnacentral:rRNA from 1 species
GACGUAGGAGGCGAGCGUUGUCCGGAUUCAUUGGGCGUAAAGAGCACGCAGGCGGUUUGGCAAGUCGGAUGUGAAAACCCGAAGCUCAACUUCGGGCCUGCAUCCGAAACUGCCCGACUAGAGGUAGGUAGGGGAGAUCGGAAUUCCUGGUGUAGCGGUGAAAUGCGCAGAUAUCAGGAGGAACACCGGUGGCGAAGGCAGCUCGCUGGGACGGUACUGACGCUGAGGUGCGAAAGCGUGGGGAGCGAACAGG